GUUCGUGACUCAAAAUAUUUUUUCUCUUCGCUGCUCGAUGAUGUAUCAAUUUAUUUUGAUUCUUCUCUUGCUAUCAAUCGAUUUCUUAUUCUUCUUGCUAUUAAUCGAUUUCCUCUUCUCUUAUCCGUCGACCGAUCUCUUAUUUUUUUGUUUGUAUUCAUCAGGGGAGGCAAAUACUCAGAAGAAGAUGCUAAAAAAGUAAUAGUUCAGGGCAUGGUUCAUUGUCACCUCAAACCCUAGGUUCAUAUCCGGAGCCUGGGGAUUUGAAGAUUUCUGAGAGGUUUUUGCACAAAAACUCAAUGAGUCGGGUGGAGGAUGAUCUAAAGGUGUCGAUUGGGGAGGGUUUGAGCUUCGAGAAAUGGAUGUGAACAGGGACCGAAUUCUUUUAGAGUGGCUUUCUCAUCAUCGGAUGGUUGAGUUCAAAUCGAAAUUGAAAUUAAUGAUUCUUUUAGACUGGCUUUCUCAUCAUCGGAUGGUUGGAUUGAACUUCGACUUCGUGAUGUUGAAUUUGACAAAGCACUCUUCGUAUAUGAUCUACAAUGUCUUCCUCUACUUUAGUCAUGUUAUUCAAAAGCAGUACUUUGAUAUUUAUGGCGAUAAGGAGGUUGUUUAUCCUUUCUCCUUAUCAAAGAGGAGGAGAGAUUGGACGUUCUGACGGUGCUGGUGUUGUGAAAACAGUGCUCAUUAAGGAACUAUUCAACAGUGACGCCAAAGCUCAUGGUAUGUACUCUUGGUGUAUAUUUAUAUAGUGUGCACAGUGGCAUUCCAAACUUUUUAACUUACUAACUGGUUCUCCUACCGGUGAAUAUGUGGUUUCACCGUAUUUGCUGGUGUGGAAGAAAAGGACUUGUGAGAAGAAGAAUAUAAUUGAAAAGAGGAAGAAGUAGAGAAACGAGAAGAGAAGCUUAAUUCAUUGUUGAUCUUUUUCAUUUACUUUUGGAAUGUCUUCAGCUUUCUUUUCCCUAAGAUCUUUCUUCUCAAUUAUUUACUCAUUUUCUUAUGAAUCUUUGUUUGUUUUUGUUGUAUAUUUCAAGUAUGCUUACUUUCUAACAA